UGCACAAGAGCGUGCAAGGACACGGGGUGCACAAGGAUGCACGAGGUCAUGUGAGGACACGGGGUGCACGAGGGCGUGCAAGGACACAGGGUGCACAAGAGCACACGAGGCUGUACAAGGACCUGGGGUGCACGAGGGCGUGCAAGGAUGCGGGGUGCACAAGGGCGCACGAGGGCGUGCAAGGACACGGGACGCACAAGAGUGCACAAGGCUGCACGAGGACACGGGGUGCACGAGGGUGCACAAGGACACGGAGUGCACGAGGACAUGGGGUGCACAAGAGUGCACAAGGUUGCACGAGGACACGGGGUGCACAAGGACAUGGGGUGCACGAGGACAGAAGGUGCACGAGGAUAAAGGGAUGCACAAGGAUACACGAGGGUGCACGAGGGUGCACAAGGAUAAACGUGUGCACGAGGACAGGGGGUGCACGGGGCACAAGCGGCGUUGCACGAGGAUUCACGAGGACUCACGAGGACUCACGAGGAUGCACGAGGACGAAGGGGGUCACACG
rnacentral:lncRNA from 1 species